UCCCACUCCUCUGCUUCAGUAGCCCUUGACCAAUGACUGCUAGAAGUUGGAAUAUGAAUACCCCAGCCACGUUGACCCUUGGUGAAUAAUAUGCUGCUUUCUCUGGGAUGCCAAGAGAUUGGCUAGGAAUUGGAUAUUAAGACCAGCUUUGGCACAACAAAUGAAAGGCCUUCCACUGCCAUUUUAGAGGAACUCUAACAAAGGGAAGCCUCCUAUAAACAUUGACCUGACUCUCUGAAAAGGAGGAUUAAUUUUGCUGAACUUGGGAGUCCUGCUGAAGAACUCAUCUAAGAACUUGAGAUCUCUCAAAUCUAGGCCUCAUCUCAGACCACAGCAUACUUUCUUUCCUAAAUAGUCUCUGAGUGGGAGGAUCUCAAUGUAGUACUGACGUGGGUGUGAACAUUCGGUGUUUAAAGUCAUGAGAAGCAACUUAAAUUAAAUUGCCUUGAAGUUUUUUAAGCUUUGAAAUUUCUAUUUUGGAAUUUAAAAAAAGGAAUGGGAAAAGAAAAAGAGAAGCAGUUUGUUCACUGGGUAGGUUUUUGUCCACCUGCUUCCCAUACUCCCUCCCCCCAACUCACUGGGAACCAACAAUCAUUUUAUUGGCAGUAGCACAACA